ACAGUUUAAGAUGAUUGUGUACAAAACUCGCUUCAGUUCUCUCUUUAAGCUCAAUGCUUCAAAGGGGGUUGAAGGAGAAAACGUUUGCUUCAGACCCUACAAAAAUGGUAUUUCCUUCCUGCUGGCAUGUCGGAAAAUAUGUAGUAGAAAAAUUUUCAACUGACAAUCAUGUGAGUUGUAAAAUCUUAUGAUCAGUUUCAGUGUCCUGCCUUCAUCACUCUUUUCUAGAUAAUAUCAUUAUUCGGAGGGUUGGCCAUUCCUUCUAAGUUGGAUUUGGACUUGGUGUGCUGUUAUUAUGGUUGUUUUGUCUUUAUUAAUAGCUUUUGUUUCUAUGAUCUUUAAUAAAUUUACAUAUUAUUGAAUCUCUGAUAAAUGGGGUGGAUUUAUCUAAAGAGGAGGUAGAAGCUUCUCUUGAUUUUUUUACUGAGUGAAGCUAAUGAAGUUUUGAUUAGUGCUUUUCUUAUUCUUUUGAGAGCCAAAGGAGAGUCAUUCGAAGAAGUUGUGGGAUUGGCGAGGGCAAUGUUCAAAUGCUUGAGGAAGGUUGAAGGAAUGACUGAUGUGGUUGAUAUUGUUGGAACGAGAGGUGAUGGGACAAACACAAUUAACAUAUCAACAGGGGCUAGUAUUAUAGUUGCUGCCUCUGGUGCAAAAAUUGCCAAGCAAGGAAACAGAUCCAGUUCUUCUGCCUAUGGAAGUGCUGAUGUGUUAAAGGCAUUGGGGGUAAACAUCAAUUUGGACCCUGAGGUAAGUGUUAUAAAAUGAUCGACUGAUUCCAUUUAUACAUAGUUUCUUUUACUUCAACAUUGAUAUGGUCAUUUGUCUUUUUAAUUCUUUUUAUUAUGAUGAGCUAGGAUAGCCAAAUA